rnacentral:rRNA from 1 species
CUCGUAGGUGGCCAACUAAGUCAGACGUGAAAUCCCUCAGCUUAACUGGGGAACUGCGUCUGAUACUGGAUGGCUUGAGUUUGGGAGAGGGACGCGGAAUUCCAGGUGUAGCGGUGAAAUGCGUAGAUAUCUGGAGGAACACCGGUGGCGAAGGCGGCGUCCUGGACCAACACUGACACUGAGGAGCGAAAGCCAGGGAGCAAACG